GAUGAAGAACGUAGCGAAAUGCGAUACGUAAUGUGAAUUGCAGAAUUCAGUGAAUCAUCGAGUCUUUGAACGCACAUUGCGCCCUCUGGUAUUCCGGAGGGCAUGCCUGUCCGAGCGUCAUUGCUGCCCUCAAGCACGGCUUGUGUGUUGGGCUCCGUCCCCCGAUCCCGGGGGACGGGCCCGAAAGGCAGCGGCGGCACCGCGUCCGGUCCUCGAGCGUAUGGGGCUUUGCCACCCGCUCUGUAGGCCCGGCCGGCGCUUGCCGAUCAACCAAAUUUUUAUCCAGGUUGACCUCGGAUCAGGUAGGGAUACCCGCUGAACUUAAGCAUAUCAAUAAGCGGAGGA
rnacentral:misc_RNA from 1 species